rnacentral:rRNA from 1 species
CGGUAAAUACGUUCCCGGACCUUGCACACACCGCCCGUCAAGCCAUGGGAGCCGGGUGUACCUAAAGUCGGUAACCGCAAGGAGCUGCCUAGGGUAAAAUCGGUGACUGGGGCU